rnacentral:rRNA from 1 species
AUUGAACGCUGGCGGCAGGCCUAACACAUGCAAGUCGCACGAGUGGCGGACGGGUGAGUAAUGUCUGGGAAACUGCCCGAUGGAGGGGGAUAACUACUGGAAACGGUAGCUAAUACCGCAUACCAUCGGAUGUGCCCAGAUGGGAUUAGCUUGUUGGUGGGGUAACGGCUCACCAAGGCGACGAUCCCUAGCUGGUCUGAGCGGAUGACCAAGCAACCCUGAACUGAGAGACGGUCCAGGAUCCCACGGGAGGCAGCCGGGGGGAAUAUUGGACGAAGGGCGCCAGGCUUAUGGAGCCAUGCCGGGUGGUUGAAGAAGGCCUUCGGGGUGUAAAGUACUUUCAGCGGGGAGGCGUUACCCGCAAGAGAAGCGCCGGCUAACUCCGUGCCAGCAGCCGCGGUAAUAC